AUCCAGGGAACUUUGCAGAGAUGNUUUGGUGCCUUCGGGAACUCUGAGACAGGUGCUGCAUGGCUGUCGUCAGCUCGUGUUGUGAAAUGUUGGGUUAAGUCCCGCAACGAGCGCAACCCUUAUCCUUUGUUGCCAGCGGUCCGGCCGGGAACUCAAAGGAGACUGCCAGUGAUAAACUGGAGGAAGGUGGGGAUGACGUCAAGUCAUCAUGGCCCUUACGAGUAGGGCUACACACGUGCUACAAUGGCAUAUACAAAGAGAAGCGACCUCGCGAGAGCAAGCGGACCUCAUAAAGUAUGUCGUAGUCCGGAUUGGAGUCUGCAACUCGACUCCAUGAAGUCGGAAUCGCUAGUAAUCGUGGAUCAGAAUGCCACGGUGAAUACGUUCCCGGGCCUUGUACACACCGCCCGUCACACCAUGGGAGUGGGUUGCAAAAGAAGUAGGUAGCUUAACCUUCGGGAGGGCGCUUACCACUUUGUGAUUCAUGACUGGG
rnacentral:rRNA from 1 species